rnacentral:tRNA from 2 species
GGCCCGGUGGUCUAGAGGCAUGAUUCUCGCUUAGGAUGCGAGAGGUCCCGGGUUCAAUUCCCGGUCGGGCCC